CAGACUGCACAGGAGAGCAUCAGAGAAGUCAUGUUGUAGGGAGGGCAGUUGACAGAAUGUUAGAUGGAAGCCAAAGCUUUUAAAACAGCUUUUACACAGAGUUGGGAUGGUCCAGAUGGGAAGUUGGGUGGAAUCCCCUCAAGUACCCAUGCUGGGGAAGUGAGGAGACAGGAGAGGAGGGACAGAGAAAUGAAAAGUUGUGUGAUUUUGUUAAUUGGAGCCAAAGUACAAUCAUUAGAGUAGAAUGAGUUUAAUAGAGGCCCCCAGAGAAAGGGUGUAUAUUUUAUAUAGUUUGAUAACUGAAGAAAACUAACAGGGAGGCACCCUGUCUGCAAAGCUCCUGGUCGCUUCCACUAGGGAUGAGAUAACAUUUCUGGUUCAAGUGGGCAACUGUGGUGAAGGAUGAAGGGUUAGGAACCACUUCCUUAUACCUAUUUUGGCAGAGAUAUUUACUACUUUGUGGUAGAGAAGAGGGGAGAGAUGAGAAAAAAACCCACUUCUACUAUAAUUAUGGUGGUUCUUGCAAUCACAACUUAACUAGGAAUUAGUGAACUUCCAUUUGAAAUGGGAAAAAUAAAUGUUGGUUAAAGUCACAAGUUUCUUGCUUGGCUUAUAUUCAUUGCAUAGAAGGUUUUUUUGGGGGGGGGUGUUUUGUAAGUGUGGGGUGCAGAAAGAGGAAAAGAUCAGGGACAACCCACAAGGAUUUUUUAAAGGUAUAAUAAUUUACUGCAUCUUUUACAUGUGUUUCAUAUUAAAUAGACUUAUAGCAACUUACAGCUGAAUGUGGGAACAUUUUUAAGAAAAAAAAUUGUAAUGUUGGAGGUGUCCUUCAGGUCUCUGACAGCCAUAAACACUCUUGGGGGAGCAGAGGAAGCAGAGGAAAAGCUGGUUGCACCGCUUUGUGGUUCACAAGUCUUUAUAAAUAGUAGUGCCUUUCAGAGGGGAGAACGGGAGAUAAAGAAGUUCAUUGUAUUUAGAGUGAUAAUAUGGCAGCAUUUUUUUCUUUAUUUUAAAAUAUCUUUUAAAAGAAACCAUCUGAACAUAGGGUGAGCCCAGGAAUUCACGAGUUUCGACCUCAGCUAUUCCUGAUUCGUCCUUUCUUACAGAAAGUCUUUGUUUUUUCCACCCCAAAUGUCCCCAUUGUUAAAAUGGGAGUUGGGGAGAAGGAGGGAGGAAUUAAUCUCAUAGGAAUGUUGGGAAAAUAGCUUUGUUGGGAUGUCUAAAAAAUACUUUGAUUUUUUUUUUUUAAGUGCUAUACACUGCCAGUGCUAAAAGAUUUUAUUGAUAGUAACUUUGAACAUUCCAGGAUUUCGAUAUUCUUGUCUUUGGAUACCAUUUGCAAACUCAUGAAAUUAAAUGCUGUAAAUUGAUCUUCAUUGGAGGCACUAGGUGCUCUUUGUCUGAAUGUUAUUUGGUCUUGAUGCUUUAAAAGGUUGUCUAAAAAAAAGGUUAGGCGAGCUGAUGAAGUGUUUGUUGAUAAACUGUUUUCUCCAGUAUGCCCUAUGGCAGCGGAAGCAAAGAGUGAGAUGCCCUCCAAAGCAAUUGUGAUGACCUUCUCAAGCUUUAUGCUCUGGAAAAAUUGACAGAGGAGAAUCAAAACAUCCCCUUUCCUCACUGGGAGGGCAGAAGUAAGAAUAAAAUAUUUUCUGAUUUCACAAUUCAUUUCUUCAGAGUCUCACAGGCACCUGUUAUAAGAAGCAAAUUAAAUUCACAGGUGUAGAAAUGAAUUGGACUGCUGGCUUUUAGAAGGAAAACCUUGGGUCUUUUUUUUUUUUUUUCUUUUUCUUUUUAGAUUGCUAGGUGUUUCUGGAGUCACCUAUUUGCUUUCUGAUCGUCUAUAUGAUUUACUGCCCAGGAGUUAGUCAUUACCUUUUCCUUGCCUAUGUGGAAAAACAUGGAAAUUUAGAUUUGCGAGAAUAUGAGGGGCAAAUAUGUUAUACACUGGAUGGUGGUUAUUUCUGUGUAUUAACGAAACCUUCGUCCCAUGAGCUUGAUAAAGGAGAAAAUAUUUCAAACAUAAGAGUCUCUAUAGUGGGGCCAACUCACCACUUCCUCAUUCAGUUUUGAGGAAUGUGGGCCUUAUUUCUUUAUUUCCUGUGUAGCGUCUCUGUGGAGUCUUGGUUAGGCAAACAUAAUGUGGGAGCUUUCCAUGGAUUUAUUUGCAUUACGGUUUUUCUUAACUAUUUAAAAUCUAGGGAUUGUUUGGAAAUGAAUGACUAAACCCAGGGUAGGGUUAGGAAAGAUAAGGUUUACACAUACUCCGUUAAGAAAAGGGGAGCUACCGUCUUGAUACCUAUUUUCUAAAGACUAUAAGGCUCUGAGUUGUUUCAUUAAUUUUAGAGAGUUUAAAAGGGCUGAAAUUUGUGCAUAGUGUUAGAUGUUUCUACUAGAGAAUAUUAUUCACGUGAGAAAUCUAUACGAAAAGAGAACACAGAAAUAUCACAGGCCAUGUUUUCUCUAAAAAUCAUUUCUUCCUCAUUUUCCAUAUAUGUAGAAGUUAGAGGAGAGGAAAAAGCAAGUACUCUAAGAUGAAUUUUCCUCUUUAAUGGACAUGGAUGGAAAGCCUGAAAUUAUACUCAUAGGCUAUUGAGUUUCCUGUCAGCUUGUUGGCUGGGAGAUUCUAAAAUGGGGUCAGAUUUAGUUUUUAUUCAAAUGAUCGAGAUUAACUGUUUAUUCAGAUAACUUAUUUUGGAUGGUGAGGAUGACUGAGAAAAUGGAGGGUGUUGGAAAAGCGUGCAAAUAGAAAUUUUCAGAAUCUCAAUCCUGAAGCUUAAUUUAAGCAAGCAAAUUUCCUAGCCCAGGAAUAGCUAGUAUAAAAGUUCCAUCAAUGCCUGACUUCUAUCAAGAAAUGAAUCCACAUCCUGUAGGCUUAACGGGGACUGUUACCUUGAUCUCAGACUGUGGUUAUGAAUUUGAAGUUAACGAAACAUACAUCUUCUCUUAUGAACUUAAGCCAUAUCUGUCCUCUCUGUGUUUGAUUUUUUUUGACCCUGGUGCUUUUACUUCUGUUUCUGCCAAACUUCAGCCUAGUCUAUGGGGAAGGUGAGUAAAACUAGUAGUUAAGACAAAUGUGAAGACUGUGAAAAAAAACUAGACAUAUUCUUCAGAAUGAGAUCCUAGUCAGAGCACAAUAGUGAUCAAAGUGCAAACUGUUGGAAAAUAUGGAUAUAUGUACAUCUGUACAUGUAUAUAGUGUAUAAUAUGUAUGUAUAUGUUAUGGCUCAUAUGCAGAAAUCUAUCCAUUUGAAGACAGUCCAGGUGGGUCAGUUUUUCUAUUAGAAAACCAUUGAGAGCCAUUCAAAACCAUUAGGGCUGAUGGGGAGAGUUAGAUUCUACUCAUUGGGGAAUUAUUUGCUGUAUUCUGAAGUCUACAAAGCUUGAAACAUAAUGUGGCCAUCAUUUAAGUUAUUCUGUUUACCUGGAGUCAGAAGAAUCUUUGUUUGAAUUAAUAAUUGUUGGUUUGCGAACUUCAUUGGCACCCCUUAGUUUUGAGUGACCCCUCCCCACCAAGUCUUUUGAGAGUGUGGGCUUCUCUGACCAUUCAGAUAAAGGGCCUUAUCUAUAAGUGGACAGGUUUCCCCAUAGGGACCAUUACACAUAUACAUAUAAGUACAUACUUCCAUAACGCUUGUAACAGUUGAUUUAAAAUCACUCCACAGUAUUGAUAAAUAGCUCUAUAUUUUCAAGGUGCAGAAGAAUUCCACAGCCUUAAUUAUUUCAGUGUCUUGCUGGUCUGCCUUAAGUGUAUCUUCUGGGUUUUUGGUUGUCUCAUUAUUUUUAAAUUUUUCUGCAGUUGUUCAUUUUGUAUGCACACAACGUCGUUUUGUAAAGGUAGGUUGUAAAUAUUUUAUUUGUAAGUCAAAAUCACUCAUGUGUAAUGUUGUAAAGUGAUGAUCUGCUGUCUUGUUAUUAUUACUACAGUAAAUGUUAUAAGUUAUGGAUGAAACUUCAAAAUGUACAUCUCACAAGUUAUGCAUUCCUAUAAAUAUACUAUACUAAAGAUAUUAUUUCUGGUGGUCUUUUCUUUCUAAUUAAAACUUCUGUUAGCAAGAAAAGAGUAAUUUUUUUUUUUUUUGCUCUUCCUCCAAAUAUAUGAAAGACUUUGACAAGGUGAAGAUACUGCAUUAUUACUAUAAUAAAAUUUGCCCAGCAUUGUGGAAAGAAAGCAACAAUUUUUUUGUGUGUGUGUCUUUUUUGGCAUUUCUUGGGCCACUCUCACGGCAUAUGGAGGUUCCCAGGCUAGGGGUCUAAUCAGAGCUGUAGCCACCGGCCUACGCCAGAGCCACAGCAGCGCAGGAUCCGAGCCGAGUCUGCGACCACAGCUCACAGCAAUGCCAGAUCCUUAACCCACUGAGCAAGGCCAGGGAUCGAACCUGAAACCUCAUGGUUCCUAGUCGGAUUCGUUAACCACUGCGCCACAACAGGAACUCCCAAGAAAGCAACAAUUUUGUAGCUUGGAGAGGUAUUCUAAGAUAUUUCUCUAUCCAAAAAUGCCAAAUAAGACUCGAUGUGUGUUGUUAAUUUCAUUCUGGUGUUUUAUUUGGCAACUUUGUUAGAAAAUUGGCAGGCCAUUUGGGAUAGAUCUCACAAGUGUAUGCAACAUAGUGUGGACUCCAGGAGCCUGGAUUAGCCUGUGCAGAUAUGAUAAGGUUUUGAAAGAGUCUGUGUGUGCCACACCAGUGCAAAUGAGAUGGAUUCAUAGGACACUGACAAUUAUCUGGAGUGUGUGAAAGUAAAGGAAAACCAUGGAAUUCCCAUCGUGGCGCAGUGGAAACGUAUCCGACUAGGAACCAUGAGGUUGAGGGUUCGAUCCCUGGUUUCACUCAGUGGGUUAAGGAUCCAGCAUUGAGAUGAGCUGUGGUGUAGGUCGCAGAUGCGGCUCGGAUCUGAUAUUGCUGUGGUUGUGGUGUAGGCUGGCAGCUGUAGCUUUGAUUAGACCCCUAGCCUNNNNNNNNNNNNNNNNNNNNNNNNNAAAAAAAAAAAAAAAAAAAAAAAGAAAGAAAGAAAAAGAAAAGAUAACCACAUUUGAAAUGGACACAUACCACCCUAGGCAGCCGAUUUUACUUUGCUGGGCGGGAAGAGGCUUACUUUACUACCCCAGGAUGAGGAGGGAAGUUUUUCUCCUUCCCCACCUACAGUGGGCAGUCUUGAAAAGCACCAAGAUUCAGCCAAUAAGAAACCCUUAUGACCCUGAAUCCUUGAUUUCCUCCAAAGGACUUUACUUUAAAGCAGCCCCUCCCAAUUUCCCGGUUCUCCAUAAAGUAACAUUCUUCUUUUUUGUUCUCCGAUUUGCCUAUGUUUACCAUAGUUUGCAUGCCCCAAAUGUAAUUCCUCUGCCAAUCCCAAACAGAAUUCAUUUAGCUGGUAAAAUAAAUGGUCAUCUUAUUCUUAAGGUUGACAGGGUAGGAUCUGAAGUAUAUUGAUUAGCUUAUUUUGCAAAUAACUAAAAUAUUUUAACAUUUGGUUUCUAUUUCAUCAAGGUUUACUUGCCUUUAUUUGAAAUGAGAACUGUCAAAAGCAUAGGCUCCUUCACACUGGCUGGUCAUCUUGUCUUCAGAGAACACAGACAUACAUUAAAAAACACAGAAACAAAAUCAGAGACUUCCCUUCCUGGCUCAGCGGUUAAUGAACCCGACUAGUAUCCAUGAGAUUGCAGGUUUGAUCCCUGGCCUCAUUCACUGGGUUAAGGAUACAGCGUUGCUGUGAGCUGUGGUGUAGGUCAAAGGCUCGGCUGGGAUCCAGUGUUGCUCGGGCCAGCGGCUGUAGCUCCAACUGGACCACCUAGCCUGGGAACUUCCAUAUGCCAAAGGUGUGGCCCAGAACAAUGUAAGUAACAAUCAUGAGCUCAUUGUUUUAAGGGUUAUUGUCAUUAAAGUAUUGCCUUCUAUACAUAAUGGGAAUCACCCCUACUUUAAGGAAUUUAUGUGUAAAUACCAAAUACACUUAGGUUUUCAGAUUGGCUGGCAUAAUUAUCCUCCUAGAUAACCCUGAUACCAAUCAAUUCAUCUUCCUCUACUGUCCUCCCUUUCUUCCUCAUCUGCUAUGCAAUUUAUGUUCCAAGCACUUGAGCUUCUCUAAUGGGAAUAAACUCCAGGAGUUCCCAUUGAGGCACAGCAGAAACGAAUUCGACUUGUAUCCAUGAGAAUACGGGUUCAGUCCCUGGCGUUGCUCAGUGGGUCGGGUAUCUGGUGUUGCCCUGAGCUGUGCUGUAGGUCGCUGUCUCCGCUCUGAUGCUGGGAUGCUGUGGUUGUGGCAUAGGCUGGCAGCUACAGCUUGGGUUCAGCACCUAGCCUGGGAACUUCCAUAUGCAGCAGCUGCGGCCCUAAAAAAAAUCAAACAGGAGUUCUCAAUGUGGCUCUGUGGUUAACCAAUCCAACUAGGAACCAUGAGGUAGCUUGUUAGAUCCCUGGCUUUGCUCAGUGGGCUAAAGAUCCUGCGUGGCCGUGAGCUGUGGUGUAGGUCGCAGUAGGGCUCAGAUCCCCGUGUUGCUGUGGUCCAGCUCCGAUUAAAUCCGUAGCCUGGGAACCUCCAUAUGCCAGUGGGUGCAGCCC
rnacentral:lncRNA from 1 species